rnacentral:rRNA from 1 species
UCUAAGUUUAAGCACCUAAACGGCGAAACUGCGAAUGGCUCAUUAAAUCAGUUAUCGUAUAUUUGAUAGUACCUACUACAUGGAUAACCGUGGUAAUUCUAGAGCUAAUACAUGCUUAAAAUCCCGACUUCGGAAGGGAUGUAUUUAUUAGAUUAAAAACCAAUGCCCUUCGGGGCUCACUGGUGAUUCAUAAUAACUUCUCGAAUCGCAUGGCCUUGUGCCGGCGAUGGUUCAUUCAAAUUUCUGCCCUAUCAACUUUCGACGGCUGGGUCUUGGCCAGCCGUGGUUACAACGGGUAACGGAGGGUUAGGGCUUGACCCCGGAGAAGGAGCCUGAGAAACGGCUACUACAUCCAAGGAAGGCAGCAGGCGCGCAAAUUACCCAAUCCCGAUACGGGGAGGUAGUGACAAUAAAUACUGAUACAGGGCUCUUUUGGGUCUUGUAAUUGGAAUGAGUACAAUUUAAAUCCCUUAACGAGGAACAAUUGGAGGGCAAGUCUGGUGCCAGCAGCCGCGGUAAUUCCAGCUCCAAUAGCGUAUAUUAAAGUUGUUGCAGUUAAAAAGCUCGUAGUUGAACCUUGGGCCUGGCUGGCCGGUCUGCCUCACCGCAUGCACUGGUCCGGCCGGGCCUUUCCCUCUGGGGAGCCGCAUGCCCUUCACUGGGUGUGUCGGGGAACCAGGACUUUUACUGUGAAAAAAUUAGAGUGUUCAAAGCAGGCCUAUGCUCGAAUACAUUAGCAUGGAAUAAUAGAAUAGGACGUUGCGGUUCUAUUUUGUUGGUUUCUAGGACCGCCGUAAUGAUUAAUAGGGACAGUCGGGGGCAUCAGUAUUCAAUCGUCAGAGGUGAAAUUCUUGGAUCGAUUGAAGACUAACUACUGCGAAAGCAUUUGCCAAGGAUGUUUUCAUUAAUCAGGAACGAAAGUUAGGGGAUCGAAAACGAUCAGAUACCGUUGUAGUCUUAACCAUAAACUAUGCCGACUAGGGAUCGGGCGAUGUUUUUCUUUGACUCGCUCGGCACCUUACACGAAAGUAAAGUUUUUGGGUUCUGGGGGGAG